rnacentral:rRNA from 1 species
UCUACGGGAGGCAGCAGUGAGGAAUAUUGGUCAAUGGACGAGAGUCUGAACCAGCCAAGUAGCGUGAAGGAUGACUGCCCUAUGGGUUGUAAACUUCUUUUAUAUGGGAAUAAAACGUUCCACGUGUGGGAUUUUGUAUGUACCCUAUGAAUAAGGAUCGGCUAACUCCGUGCCAGCAGCCGGGGUAAUACGGAGGAUCCGAUGGUUAUCCGGAUUUAGUGGGUUUAAAGGGGGCGUAGGGGGGGUGUGAAGUCAGUUGGGAAAGUUGGCGGCGCAACCGUAAAAUUGCAGUUGAAACUGGCAGUCUUGAGUACAGUAGAGGUGGGCGGAAUGCGUGGUGUAGCGGUGAAAUGCUUAGAUAUCACGAAGAACUCCGAUUGCGAAGGCAGUUCACUGGACUGCAACUGACACUGAGGCUCGAAAGUGUGGGUAUCAAACAGGAUUAGAUACCCUAGUAGUC